rnacentral:rRNA from 1 species
UGAGGAAUAUUGCGCAAUGGGGGAAACCCUGACGCAGCAACGCCGCGUGUGGGAAGAAGGCCUUCGGGUCGUAAACCACUUUUACUCGGGACGAAAAAGGGAUAUCAAAUAAAUAUCCCCGAUGACGGUACCGUGAGAAUAAGCCACGGCUAACUCUGUGCCAGCAGCCGCGGUAAGACAGAGGUGGCAAGCGUUGUUCGGAAUUACUGGGCGUAAAGAGUCUGUAGGUGGUUUGUCAAGUCUUUGGUGAAAGGCCGUAGCUUAACUAUGGGAAUGCCAAAGAGACUGGCAGGCUGGAGGCUGGGAGAGGGAAGCGGAAUUUCUGGUGUAGCGGUGAAAUGCGUAGAUAUCAGAAGGAAGGCCGGUGGCGAAGGCGGCUUCCUGGAACAGUCCUGACACUGAGAGACGAAAGCGUGGGGAGCAAACAGG